rnacentral:rRNA from 1 species
CGUAUCCUACGGGGGGCAGCAGUAGGGAAUUUUCGUCAAUGGGCGCAAGCCUGGACGAGCAAUGCCGCGUGAACGAGGAAGGUCUUCGGAUCGUAAAGUUCUGCUGAAGGGGAAAAAGAGCGGAGAGAGGAAAUGAACUCCGAUUGAUAUUACCCUUCGAGGAAGUCACGGCUAACUACGUGCCAGCAGCCGCGGUAAUACGUAGGUGGCGAGCGUUAUCCGGAAUGAUUGGGCGUAAAGGGUGCGUAGGCGGCCUGCUACGUCUGGAGUGAAAGGUACCGGCUCAACCGGUACAGGCUCUGGAA